GGGGGCGGGAGCGUGUUGCUGAGAGAGGCCUAUUUAUUCAGACGCUUCUCGGCCUCUCUGUGCUGCAUUUCUUUCCUCCAGAUACAGGGCGGUUCAUCUCUCACAUGAGGGUCUUACGAUCUACUUGCAGGAAAGGGUGAGAGGAUGAAUCAAGGCUGGCCAGACACAUUCAGAGGAUGUGCCUAUGUUCUGGAAACUUUGAAAACUACUCCUUUCACAUACUAGAAGCAUGGAAGAUCCAGCUGCCCUCUAAGGCCUCAAGUCAAUCGUCCCUUAUCCACCAAAAUGACUAAAUACCAUCUGACACUUUCCUUCUCUCCUGCUUGAGUCUGAAGACACAUUUGGAGUCUCUUGCCACCAGCAGAAUGACAACCCUUGUAGGUCUGUCGGGAAACCUGCAAGAAACCUGAGAUGGGAAAAGGUCAAGAACUGAAAACCAAUUGAAAAACCAUAUUGUAUUUACUGGGACACGUGCAUGGAAAGAUGUGGAAGAUACAUUUUAGAUUUAGAUUGAAGGAGAGAAAGAGUCAUCGCCUAUAUUCCUAUCACUCACAUUCCAUCUAUCCACGUUCAUACAUAAAUCAUGGAGGAUACGCAGCUCCAGAGCCACCUUGCAUCAAAAUGGAGUCAGAUUAAAGGGUUCACCAGCUGAUUGAUGUACAUCAAUGAUACACUGACGUCAAAGAAGACGAUAUAAGCUGAGUGUCAUGGACGCCUAUAAUCCCAGCAACUCGGGAGGCUGAGGCAGGAGUAUCCCUUGAGCCAAGGAGUUCAAGACUAGCCUGAAAAACAUAGUGAGUCCCCAUCUCAUAAAAUUUUUUUUUAAAAGAGACAACAUACAACAUAGACUAUACUACCCAUUGUAUAAAGGAUAAGGUUAAAAUGUCUUAACCUAUAGAUACUUGGGGUGAAAAUUAGACAGCCUAUGUUUGAUUACUUAUUUGGUCUAAAUUCAAGGGUCACACUUAAACUGAUUUUUAAUGAGAUUGGAUUAAUAACUAGAAAGGCAAAUAAACUUGAAGCCAAUGGACAAUAGAUCUAUAUGACAGUUUAUGAUCCGGGGAUAGGAUGUAUAUUUCUGGGCCUUGAAGGGCAGUGUUUUUCAGAGUGUUUCCUCCUAAAAUCUCUUGAGAAAUGCAAUGCUCUCCUUUUCUCCCAUGUGUGAACCAAAUGAGGUGGUACCACACCCUGUCUGCUAUCACUUUUUAUUUCGAGUCCCAGCUCAGAAAAAUGUAACCUUUGUUUUUGUCUCUCUUUUCCUUUACAACUUCGCUUUCCCAUCCUCCUUCAUUCUCUCAUUCUGGUCACCUUCCAAGGCUUCAUUCUCUACUCUCUUUCCUAUGUACUAAUCUCCAAUGAUUACCUCAUCUACCUACACAGUUUUGAUUGUGAGCAGAUGGUUCCCGUGGAAGUAUUUCUGGCCACAACUACUUAAUUUCUAAAUCAAAAUCCUAACUGUCUACUGGACACUUCCACUAGCUAUCUCAGCAACUCAAACACAUAUCUAAAUAGAACUUAACUUUUUCUUUACCAGCCAUAUUUACUUAAACAGCUCUUGAUCCUCACUUUCCCCACUUAGUUUGUGAUAGCACUCAUCUUCAAGUUUUUGCUUCCUAAAUCUGAAUAUUCACUCAGUUCCUUCCACUUUUCCUUUUUACUGUCUUCUGCCUAUGCCUCAUUUUCACCAAUUGCAUCCUAAUAGAGAUCUUGAAGAGGAUAACACAUUCAAUAACCAACAAAACUUACAUCACUAUAUUGAAAGUUGAGUCUGGCAUGAUGGCUCAUACCUGUAGUCUUAGCUACUUGAGAGGCUGAGGCAGAAGGAUCAUUUGAGCCCAGAAGUUUGAGACCAGCCUAGGCAACAUAGAGAGACUGUCUCUCUCUCUCUUCCCUCUUUUUGUUGUUGUUUUUUUUUGUUUGUUUGUUUAAUGAAAGAGAGAAAGUUGAAACAGGCAAUAGUAUGGAAAAAAUUAUAGUCCAAACUCGCUGUUAAGCAUAGAUAAAG
rnacentral:lncRNA from 1 species